GACGGAGGGGGCAAGCGUUGUUCGGAAUUAUUGGGCGUAAAGGGCUCGUAGGCGGCCAACUAAGUCAGACGUGAAAUCCCUCAGCUUAACUGGGGAACUGCGUCUGAUACUGGAUGGCUUGGAUUCGGGAGAGGAAUGCGGAAUUCCAGGUGUAGCGGUGAAAUGCGUAGAUAUCUGGAGGAAUACCGGUGGCGAAGGCGGCAUCCUGGACCGGCAUUGACGCUGAGGAGCGAAAGCUAGGGGAGCAAACGGG
rnacentral:rRNA from 1 species